UAUAUAUAGGUACAAGAUGAGUCUCUACCUUAUAAUUAUACAAAGAAUUAAGAGGUAGGCCCAAUAACAAAAUAUACAUGCACAAAUAUAUAUUCAACAUUCAGCUCUGUUUGUACGUGCAAGUUUUAGCAGCAAAACAGAANUUUAGCGCAAGGCUUUGACAUGUCGCCGCUGCUGCAGUUUGAUUAACCUUUUUUCAAGUAGAAAUUGAUGGACUGAUGGUCUUCAGUACUUACAUGGUUACUCGCUGCCUCACGUACGGCAGCAUAGAAAAUUACU
rnacentral:lncRNA from 1 species